rnacentral:rRNA from 1 species
AUGGAUUUGCUGAAGCACAAGGUCCAGUCCCUGGCCGUCUCCCCCCUAACAAAUAAGGAGACUGGUAUGUCCAAAAAGCAAUUAAAACGGAGCCUGGAGAAAAUAGAAAAGGUUACAAAUGAAGCACACCAAAUUUUGGAAUGGCUGAACUUGCCCACUGUAAAUAAGGGACAGCCUAGUGCAGCCAAUGCAUGUACCACUGCAACUUCCCCAGUAAAGGUAAUUGGUCGAGAUGAGGAUCGUGACAAGAUCAUAGAAAUGCUUCAUGAGAAUGCCAGUCAUGGUAAGACAAACAUGAAUAGCAGUCUAUGUUAUUCUGUUGUUGGAAUUCAUGGCAUAGCUGGAUCUGGGAAAUCAACCCUUGCACAGUUUGUUUUUGCCCAGGAAGAAAAAGACAAGCUAGCCGAAAAAGAUGGCCAUUUUGGCAUUCUAUUAUGGGUUCAUGUCUCUCAAAAACCUAGCAUCGAGGUCAUUUACAGGCGAAUGUUUGAGGCAAUUGAAGGAUAUGAUUGUGAACUUAAUAGUCUUGAUAGGCUACAACAAGAACUGAAGGAUAUCCUGACUAGCAAAAGGUUUUUCUUGGUACUAGAUGAUGUCUGGUGCAACAAGGAUGUUGGCGAGCAGAAUCUGCCACAAUUACUUUCUCCAUUCAAGAUUGGAAAGAGAGGAAGCAAGAUCCUAGCGACAAGUCGAAAUGUAGAUGCCUUCUCGGAUCUUGGUCCUGAUGUGAGAUGCGCCAAUUUUCCAAUUAGUGACUUGGGUGAUAGUAUGUUCCUUGAGCUAUUCAUGUACCAUGCACUUGGAGAUAGGCACGCAGACGAUGGAGUUGGGAGCACACUCUGGAAUAUUGGGGUUCACAUUGCAAAAAAGCUUAAGAGGUCACCUCUAGCAGCCAGUACAGUGGGAGGACAACUACGUAAAAGAAAAAAUGUUGAGUUUUGGAGAAGAGCUAGAGAUCGGGACUUACUGAACGAGACGAUGGGAGCUCUAUCAUGGAGCUACCAGCAUCUUAAUGAGCAGAUUAGACAAUGCUUUGCUUACUGUAGUAUGUUCCCCAGAGGGCAUCAUUUCAGACCUAAUGUGUUACUUAAGUUGUGGGUGGCAGAAGGGUUUAUAAGAAGUACUAAUGCAGGUAAGGAAAUGGAAGAUGUUGGUCAGGAUUACUUUGAUGAACUUGUGUCAAUCUCAUUUCUGCAAUAUGGGGGAAAGGAGUCCUGCGGUGAGGACUACUAUUUAAUGCAUGAUCUGAUGUAUGAUUUAGCAGAGAGGAUCGCUGGACACGAUUGCUUUAGAAUUGAGGAUGGAUGGACAGGAGAAAUUCCUCCAGGUGUUCGCCAUCUUUUUAUUGAUACUUAUAAUGGGGAGAAGCUUGCCAUGAAGAUUUUUCAACUGGAAAAUUUACGCACUCUCAUCAUUAAAGUUAUCAAAUUAUGGACACCACGUGAUGAAGAAGUUUUCAAGAAUAUAAUCAUGAGGCUGCAAAAAUUGCGGGUACUGAACGUGACUUUUGGUUUGACUUGGCAUGUCAAUUUCUUAGAACCUAUUGGUGUCAAGCAUAUACGUCACCUUACUUACAGGAUCAGCAAAUCACAUGGUCUCAUUUUACCAAGGACCUUUAAAAAACUUCACCACAUUCAGACACUUGAUUUUGGUAAUUGCAAACGUCUUUCGCUCUCCAAAGAUGAAGUUGGGAUUAAUUUGGUUAGCUUGCGGCAUGUAGGGAAUGCCAGCAUUUUGAAGUUGGUGAACAUUGCCAGGUCGACAUCACUCCAAGAGUUAGGACCAUACUUCACAGUAAGUAAGGAAAGAGGUUGCAAUAUAAAACAUCUGAGGGAUCUAAACCAGCUUCGUGGCCGUCUGCGCAUUAGAGGUGUUGAAAAUGUUAAAAGCAGUGAGGAAGCUCUUGAAGCCAAGCUAGCUGAUAAGGAGCAACUCACCGAGCUAGAACUAUGCUGGGAUUGUGAUCAGGAGAGCUGCAAUCCAGAAGUUGAAGUAGAGGUACUUGAGGGUCUAUGCCCUCCGAAGGAUCUUGAAAAACUGGAACUCUGCGGGUACAAUGGAGCGAGAUACCCUAAUUGGAUGGUGGGUAGGCAGAAUGGUGGCUUAAAGUGCCUGCAAGUACUUAAGCUCUGGAAAUGCAGCUUAGGGCCUGCUCCCGUUUUUGAGGUCUUCACUCUACUUCGUGUCCUCUCUCUUUCGGCAUGCAUCUGGGUGACCUUACCAGAUAACAUGGUGCGCCUGAAAUCACUCGAGGAACUGUCCAUUGAAUUAUGUCAGAAUAUCCAGUCUCUUCCAGCCCUGCCCCACUCACUCAAGAAACUGUCCAUCAAAUAUUGUAAGAAUAUUCGGUCUCUUCCAGUACUGCCCCAGUCCCUUGAGGAAUUGUCCAUCGAUUAUUGCCCGAAUAUUCAGUCUCUUCCAGUGCUGCCCCAGGCCCUCACGAAACUGUCCACUGUUGAUUGCCCGAAUAUCCAGUCGCCUCCAGAACUGCUCCGGUCCCUUGAGGAGUUUGAAGUUUGA